rnacentral:siRNA from 1 species
UAUACCUUUAAAACGCGAUCGAUU